AGCGAACGCUGGCGGCAGGCCUAACACAUGCAAGUCGAACGAAGUCUUCGGACUUAGUGGCGGACGGGUGAGUAACACGUGGGAACGUGCCUUUAGGUUCGGAAUAACUCAGGGAAACUUGUGCUAAUACCGAAUGUGCCCUUCAGGGGAAAGAUUUAUCGCCUUUAGAGCGGCCCGCGUCUGAUUAGCUAGUUGGUGAGGUAAAGGCUCACCAAGGCUACGAUCAGUAGCUGGUCUGAGAGGAUGACCAGCCACAUUGGGACUGAGACACGGCCCAAACUCCUACGGGAGGCAGCAGUGGGGAAUCUUGCGCAAUGGGCGAAAGCCUGACGCAGCCAUGCCGCGUGGAUGAUGAAGGUCUUAGGAUUGUAAAAUCCUUUCACCGGUGAAGAUAAUGACUGUAGCCGGAGAAGAAGCCCCGGCUAACUUCGUGCCAGCAGCCGCAGUAAAAC
rnacentral:rRNA from 1 species